UGGGCUUCGUGUUCGUUUAGAAUUGGCACAUCAGCAGAUGUGAGCCCCACUUUAUAUUGAUUUGGUUUGGUAUCUAACUAAUGUUGUUUGUUUAAUUUGAGUUUUAUUUUUCUACGGUUUAAUUUUUUUCCCGUACGGUUCUCUUAAUGUCGUUGGUUCUCUUACGGUUUUAGGGUUACGUUUUUUUGACUCUUCUUCACCCUCGCCGUUCCUCAAAACUCGGUCUGUAAACCCAAAGUUUUCUUUUUACAACUCUUAACCUCCCCUAACGUAGAUUCAACGUAUUCUACUUAAUUCCCCAUUAAUCCAGUAAUAAUGUAAACCUCUCUGUUUCCUUCAUUUGAUCUAUAAAUUGGAGAGGAUUCCGGGUGGGAUGAAUCUUCACAAUCACUUUCGAUUCAUCUUCCAUAUCAAGCAUACAAAGAUCCUUUGAUAAAGUCGUCCACAGAUGCUUUGAAGAGGCAGAUGACUAACUAUAUGCUUCAGGACGAUUAAAAUCAUCAGAAGAUGAGCAAAAAAAUGAGUCAGAACCAUUGAUUUGAUCGAGCAGAGGCAGAGCGUCUGAAGCUUUGAUGCAUCAUCGAGAAAAAUCUUUUGAGUCUUAGAGAGUUUCAGGGGAACAGAUUUAGGAUGAUAAAGGCAAGCCAAACCUAGCCAAAUUCUACGGUGAUAUGUCUUCGUUUCUUUGAAAUUUUAAUUUCUUACGUGGACGACUGUGACCUAUUCUCAACUUAUGAUUUGCGGUUACAGCUACAGAAGCAAUACGAGCUCAUAAGCAACGUAUUUUCAGCGUGAUACACAUUUAAGGAAGUGACAGAGUCAUCGAGUCAGUCAUGGAAUAUGCUGCCAAAGAAAACUGUGGGAUGCUGUACCGUUACUGCAAAGCUAUGGGAGAAGGGCUCCAUCAGGAGGACAGGGUGUUGAGGAAGGCCGUAGAGAAAACAAAAAAGAGGGUGAUGAAGUAACAGAGAAUCUCCUGGACAUUGACCCGCUAGAAAACAUGGUUAGACUUAGAGAUGAUGUUUUCAAGUGUAGAAGAAUAAAGAAAGAAAAACUUCAAAGGAUAAGGAGGAGUUGACGACCAAAGUGGACCACCAAGACCACCAAUAUUGUUGAUGAGAAGGUCGAUAUGUUUGCCAUUGGUGUAUUGGUUCUAUAAGUCAUAACUAGGGGUGUUCAAUCCGGA